GGAGUUUGGACCGUGUCUCAGUUCCAAUGUGGGGGACCUUCCUCUCAGAACCCCUAGACAUCGUAGCCUUGGUGUGCCGUUACCACUCCAACUAGCUAAUGUCUCGCGAGCCUAUCCGUAUCCACCGAAGCUUUCAAACAAACCUCAUGCGGGGUCUGUUGUUAUGGGGUAUUAGACGUCGUUUCCAACGCUUAUCCCCCUGAUACGGGCAAGUUGCUCACGCGUUACGCACCCUUCCGCCGGUCGCCGACAGGUAUUGCUACCCUCGCUGCCCCUCGACUUGCAUGUGUUAAGCCUGCCGCUAGCGUUCAUC
rnacentral:rRNA from 1 species